CCGGCAGCUGGCGGACUGGACGCACGCCGGGGCACCGGCUUCCGCGGCCACCGUCGUGGAGCUGUUCGAGGCCGCCGCGGCCGGUC
rnacentral:tRNA from 1 species